rnacentral:lncRNA from 1 species
AAAUUCUAUUUAUUUUUUUUCUCCACACUUUCAUUAUUGCAGACCAGCUAAAAUGCUAAUUUGCCUGCCUGGAGUCUAAAAUGCCUUCUCUCUCUUCUUUCCCCCUUUUCUUCUCACAACGGAUGAGCAUCAAGCUGCCUUUACUUGCUGAGUAGCUCAGCAUAACUUAUUCUUCCUGAACCUGGUGGACUAAGCCACAAGGUUGGCACAGAGACUAGAAUGCUGAGUCCACGGUGGUCCUUCCUAGAAGAGCCCUGGAAAGGAGCAGCCUCCCUCAGAACAGGUGACUGUCUUCAUCUUUAUUGCAUCUUAUUAAAGAAAUGUACUGGGAUCAGGAUCCCAACAAAAAGGUUCCCGUGGCGGAAUAAAACAGCCUAAAGGUAAAACUUGUGAUGUAAAAGUCUGUUUUCUGUGACCUUGGUGAACCUAUGAACUGACCAAGAAAGGUGAUGGCUCCAGAGGGC